rnacentral:rRNA from 1 species
UUCGUAGGCGGCUUGGCCAGUCAGGUGUGAAAUCCCCCGGCUCAACUGGGGAAUUGCGCCUGAUACUGCCAGGCUUGAGGGCAGGAGGGGAGAGUGGAAUUCCUGGUGUAGCGGUGAAAUGCGUAGAUAUCAGGAGGAACGCCGGUGGCGAAAGCGACUCUCUGGCCUGCAUCUGACGCUGAGGAACGAAAGCUAGGGGAGCGAACG